rnacentral:rRNA from 2 species
UUAGGUUAAGUUAUGAAGGGCGCAUGGUGAAUGCCUUGGUACUAGGAGCCGAUGAAGGACGGGACUAACACCGAUAUGCUUCGGGGAGCGGUAAGUACGCUUUGAUCCGGAGAUUUCCGAAUGGGGCAACCCAAUCAGCUUAGUCGCUGAUUACUUGACUAGUGAAUACAUAGCUAGCAAGAGGUAGACGCAGUGAACUGAAACAUCUUAGUAGCUGCAGGAAGAGAAAGAAACAUCGAUUCCCUGAGUAGCGGCGAGCGAAAAGGGAAGAGCCCAAACCAACGAGCUUGCUUGUUGGGGUUGUAGGACUGAACAUUAGAGUUACCAAAGUGCGACGUAGUCGCAACAGUUGGGAAGCUGUGCCAUAGAGGGUGAAAGCCCCGUAGACGAAACGUCGCACUCUCUGUUCAGGAUCCUGAGUACGGCGGGACACGUGAAACCCCGUCGGAACCCGCGAGGACCAUCUCGCAAGGCUAAAUACUCCCUAGUGACCGAUAGUGAACCAGUACCGUGAGGGAAAGGUG